rnacentral:sRNA from 1 species
UGCUCCAACGAGCCCAAAAAUGCUGGCGA